ACUCCUACGGGAGGCAGCAGUGGGGAAUAUUGCACAAUGGGGAAAGCCCAUCGAUGCAGCAACGACCGCGUGAGGAUGACACAUUUCGGUGCGUAAACUCCUUUUAUAUAGGAAGAUAAUGACGGUACUAUAUGAAUAAGCGCCGGCUAACUCCGUGCCAGCAGCCGCGGUAAUACGGAGGGCGCAAGCGUUACUCGGAAUCACUGGGCGUAAAGAGCGUGUAGGCGGAUAGAUAAGUCAGGAGUGAAAUCCUAUGGCUCAACCAUAGAACUGCUCUUGAAACUGGUAACCUAGAGUAUGGGAGAGUAGAUGGAAUUUCUGGUGUAGGGGUAAAAUCCGUAGAGAUCAGAAGGAAUACCGAUUGCGAAGGCGAUCUACUGGAACAUUACUGACGCUGAGACGCGAAAGCGUGGGGAGCAAACAGGAUUAGAUACCCUGGUAGCUACGAGU
rnacentral:rRNA from 1 species